rfam:Pteropus alecto contig12039, whole genome shotgun sequence.
UUCUACAGCCAUGCCACCCUGAAAAAGCCCGAUCCUGUCUGAUCUCAGAAGCUAAGCAGCGUCGAGCCUGGUUAGUACUUGAAUGGGAGACCACCUAGGAAGACCAGGUGCUGUAGGUG